GGGUGACAGAAGCAGCUGUCCCCGUCUCUCAGCAUGUGACAGUUGCCGGCAAUCUCCGGUGUUCCGAUGCCUGUGGACCCAUGCCUCCCGUCUCCGCCUCCACCUCCACCUCCACAAGGCCUCUCCUCUGAGCGCCGGGGUCGCUGUGUCCAAAUCUCCCUCUUCAGACUUCACAUUUGAGAACACAGUACAUUUGGAACAAAAUGUCCUUUUUCCUAUUCAGCACCACAUUUCGGUAGAUAAAAGCCGUCAGCUUGGGUUUGGCAGCGGCACAGAAUGAAGCAGCAGCAACGAGGAGUCUGGCCGAUUCUGCCCUUGAGGGUAUAUUUUUUUAAUAACAUCAAACCACCAUUCAGGAAAAUCGUAGCUGGCACGGUCUUUGAAGCUGGGGCAUUCAGAGCAAGCAAAGCUCCCCACCAGGUUUCUGGACUAUUCAUCCUUCCUCACGAGGGGAGAAACUGAAGUUCAGAAGGUGAACUGAGUAGUCUGAGACCAGCCAGUGCAUGAGGCCGGAAGGGGGAGGUGAGACCUGUGGACUGGCCCAGGGGGCCACCGAGAGGCAGCUGCACAGAGUCAAGGGCCAAAGAAAUGCUGCAAGCAGAUCCCUCACCCAUCAAAUGGACGUUCUGACAGAAGGGGAAGACCCGGGCCUUACUCCCACGCUCUCUCCUGGCCACUUCCUCUGGCCAGAUUUAAGUGACUUGAGAAUUAACCAUUAUUUUGUAAUGUCUAAAGCCCUAUUAACAGAUUAAAAAAAUAGCUUUUGUUAAGGUGACUUCAAAUAGCAAUAGUGAUAGAACCCACAG